AGCAGUGCUCAUAAAAACUCCCGGGCCUGCCCCACCCUGACCUCUUUGCUUUCAGCCAUGCCUUUGAGCUGUGAAGCGUGUAAGGUGUGUAUAGAAUGAGCAGGGGGAAGGAUCCCUCCAGUGACUGGGUCUCCUGUGUGUGCUGAGCUCUGGCUCCGGCAGGUUUUCAUCAGGUUGGAACUCUUCCACCAAAUCUUAAUACGAUGCCCAUGAGCAUGAACAAGACUCUACGAAUCCUAAUGAAAAAUGAAGUCCCUCCCCAUCCCCCAACAUUUCGGCAGUACUAGGGGGAUCUUGGACGCUAGGCACUCUAAAGAAACUCACUGUCCCGGCUGUGUAGGGAACCGGGUUUCGUGAAUAGCCGUUGUUCCAUGCAGUGGAAAAGAAGCCUAGCUCCUAAUCACGCUGCCUUCGGCUAACAGGACAUUGUGAGUAUGGAAAGGUCGGUGACUCAGAGGGGAUAGAAGAGGAGAAACCGGUCAUUGGACGGGUUAGCGUGUGUCUUAUGUAUUAAAGAGCUAUGCAUCAGGAGACCUGGUCGCUUUCCUUUUCAAUGGAGCUGCUUAGUUGGCGACAUCCGGGAGACCUUUAAACCUUGAGCUCUGUCGAUUAGCCAGACCUUUCCCUGCUAAGGUCAAGUCUGUGAAAACCUGUGAACAUUCACCAUCACCUAAAGUCUGCAGCGUGGGUAACAACUGCGCUCAGCCCAUUGACUUGGUGCAAAAGUCAGAGUUGGCAAUGGAGAUAGGGCAGACAGAAAUCCUCACCUGAUCCACAGGCCCUGCUCAAGCUAACAGAGGAGGGUCAUGUAGGGUCCACCUCUGUCUCUGGACACCGCUCAAUCUUCCCUGCCAGUGAUGGCCCAGAGACUAUGGUGAUGGGCGCCAAUGAAAGAAUCUGCAUAGCUUGGCCAGCAUUGAGAAAGAGACGAAGAGGAAAUCUGUUAUCUGUGAAGUGCUCCAAAGGGCAUGUGUUUUCAAGAGUUCUCCAGGUGCGGAUACCCCUGGAUCCCUCCAUGAGACUUUUUCUCUCUCUCCCAUUCAGACCUCUCCAAAUUUACUGAACUCAGUCUAAACCCUGCCUCUUGUAUGUCUGGGCAGUGGGGGAGGCCAGGAAAUCAUCAUUAAGCAAAACUCCUGCAUGAUCCUCCGAAUGCUCCAAUAAUCUAAGGAAUGCUGGUGUCCUGAGUUCCACUCCUGGGCCCUUAGGGGAAGGCAGAAGACCACUGCACAAAAACCAUCAUUCCUGGGGGGACAGUGUCUUAGCUUUAUCGGACCCUUUGGCUCAUAUAGGGUCAACAGCAAGCCAAGGUGCUUUACCCUAGGCUCCAAAUUCUAACCUGCAUUCCCCAAGUCAUCUGUAGAACAAAGCGUAUUAAGGAAAUCUCUUUUUUUUCACUGGUGGAAGUGAAACAAGCCACUAGACUGUUGUACUUGAAAUUUUUUAGACGGUAAUAAGCAAAGUUUACACGUAGGUUUUGAGUGGAAUAUUUGUAUUUUAUAUGUAAAUGUGGGUGAGUUAAAA
ensembl:lncRNA